rnacentral:rRNA from 1 species
UACGUAGGGUGCAAGCGUUGUCCGGAAUUAUUGGGCGUAAAGAGCUCGUAGGCGGUUAGUCGCGUCUGCUGUGAAAACUCGGGGCUUAACUCCGGGCCUGCAGUGGGUACGGGCUGACUAGAGUGCGGUAGGGGAGACUGGAAUUCCUGGUGUAGCGGUGAGAUGCGCAGAUAUCAGGAGGAACACCGGUGGCGAAGGCGGGUCUCUGGGCAACAACUGACGCUGAGGAGCGAAAGCGUGGGGAGCGAACAGG